CGUAGGUGGCAAGCGUUGUCCGGAUUUAUUGGGUUUAAAGGGUGCGUAGGCGGCCUUAUAAGUCAGUGCUGAAAUACUCUAGCUUAACUAGAGGGGUGGCAUUGAUACUGCAAGGCUUGAGUAUAGUCGAGGUAGGCGGAAUUGACGGUGUAGCGGUGAAAUGCUUAGAUAUCGUCAAGAACACCGAUAGUGUAGACAGCUUACUAGGCUAUAACUGACGCUGAGGCACGAAAGUGUGGGGAUCAAACAGGAUUAGAUACCCUGGUAGUCCACACUGUAAACGUUGAUUACUCGCUGUUGGCGAUACACAGUCAGCGGCUUAGCGCAAGCGAUAAGUAAUCCACCUGGGGAGUACGCCGGCAACGGUG
rnacentral:rRNA from 1 species